rnacentral:rRNA from 1 species
CGUAGGUCAGUUUUGCCUACCACAGUGAGCUCCGGCUUGCUAGUCUCCCCUGGAGGCGACACGCUCAACGUGCGGAAAGGCCCUCCUUGGAGGGAAAUCCGCAGCCCCUACCCGGGGUUCAGAGACUCAAUGAGUGUGGGCUCAGUAAGUGAGCUUGAGAUAGAGCCCGUCCCGGCUGGCAACUGCCGGGAGUCAACGGAACCUGCGGAAGGAUCAUUAAAGAAUUUACGUCUUCGGACGCUAUUCUCACCCUUUGUAUAUUAACUUUGUUGCUUUGGCAGGCCUCCGGCUUCGGCUGGGUCGUGUCUGCCAGAGGCCUAACUCUUGAAUCACUGCGGUCUGAGUACUAUAUAAUAGUUAAAACUUUCAACAACGGAUCUCUUGGUUCUGGCAUCGAUGAAGAACGCAGCGAAAUGCGAUAAUUAAUGUGAAUUGCAGACUCAGUGAAUCAUCGAAUCUUUGAACGCACAUUGCGCCCUCUGGUAUUCCGGGGGGCAUGCCUGUUCGAGCGUCAUUACAACCCUCAAGCUCUGCUUGGUGUUGGGCUCGCCCUGUAGGGCCUGCCUCAAAGUCAGUGGCGGCACCGUCUGACCCUAAGCGUAGUAAUACUCGCCGCUUGUGGACUCAGCGCGUGGCCUGCCAGCCAACCCCCACCAUCAAGUGUGACCUCGGAUCAGG